AUUUUAAAGUGAACCUGUCUGCUUAUAAUUUAGCAAAGCAAAAAACAGUUGUGUCCUGAAGUUUGUGUUUCAAGAAUUUAGUAUUUUUCUGGAAAUAAUUUUAUUUAACUUUAAGCAAUAACUAGGACCAUAAUUAAGUGUUAAUCAAAAUGAAGGCUUGUUUCAAACACCAUGAAAGUGUUUGAUUCACACACACACACACACACACACACACACACACACACACACACACACACACACACAUCUAUUGAGACACAAGGGGAAAAAAAUCACAUCCCCUUCAGAGAUGAUUGUAUUUUAUCUGAAGGAUCAAGAGUGUUAAUUAGUCACUUACUAAAGCUUACCUUCCACUGAAGAGAGAUCUCUUGUGAACCAUACAACUUUUGCACUUUGAAGGAAAGGCAUUACUCAGAAGGAAGUGAGGACAGUCCAAAUGGAAUGCUGCAUUUUACACACACAGUUACAGACUGUUGAAAAUUGGGGAAGAGUGAAUGGAUAACAGGAUUCGAAACCAAACUUAGUGGUGGUUGUUGCGGAACAUUGGAUUUCAACAUAGUCCAUACAGCGACUGAGGUUGAAUAACCUUGACUUUCAAAUCCUGUUUUGGUAGUUGGACUUCAUUAUCUUGGUGAUUCUAGUCAUUUUACAAUGUUUUGUAUUUGGUCAUUUACUGUAAUCACAUUUUUAUAUCUGUACAGUGACACUUUUUGCAGUUGUGGGGUAGUGUGUAACACUGUGCAUCUUGCAUCAUCGAAACUACUACCGUGAUACUAUCCAUUGAUAAUAUUAAUAUUACUUGAAAAUAGACAAAGGUAAAGAAAAGGGGUCUGUAUGAUGUGCAGUUUUGUGCCUUUAUGUAUUUGCCUUGUUCUUCGUUGAAUGUGUGAAAUUCUGUACUGUGGUUUUUCCAAUAGUAGAAAGUAGAGUCAUGCAUUAAAUUAGACUGUAUCCCUGACACCUUUAAACUACUGAGAAUAACGUGGUUGGCCGUGUAAUUCAGUGUUCAAAGUUCUAAUGACAUGCCAUGUGCUUUGGUUUUUAACAUUUCAGUACCACCAUACAUUAAUUAAUACUCCUGUAAUAGAUAAGCAGUCAUUAAUUAAGUUCCAAAAGAAAGGGCCAUUGCUUGCAUUCCUUUGAAUUUAAUGUUGCCCUUGUACACUGUGUUAAUACUGUAUGUAAUGGAUUGAACAUUGUGAUUCUCGCCUUUUAAGAAGAGAAAGAGAGAGAAGGAAAAGUAUUUGAUGCUCUCAAAAUGUACAUAUUUGGGUUCUUCUAUCUCAAAUUAUUUAAAAUGCAUAAUUCACAUUUUUUUGUAAUCAUUCUAUGCAAUUUUGUGGCAUGACGUUUCUUCCACUUGUAAUUUUCUGUGCUUUCAUCACAAGUCCAAAGGAAACAAUAAAAAUUUCUUAACAC
rnacentral:lncRNA from 1 species